GACGAACGCUGGCGGCGUGCUUAACACAUGCAAGUCGAACGGUGACGGCGGAGCUUGCUCCUCCUGAUCAGUGGCGAACGGGUGAGUAACACGUGAGCAAGCUGCCCCUGACUCUGGGAUAACUUCGGGAAACUGUAGCUAAUACCGGAUACGACGCGCGGAGGCAUGUUCUGCGCGUGUAAAGAAUGUCGUUUAGUGAUGGGCUCGCGCCCUAUCAGCUUGUUGGUGAGGUAAUGGAUAACCAAGGCGAGGAGAGGUAGCCGGGCUGAGAGGGUGAGCGGACCCACUGGGACUGAGACACGGCCCAGACUACUACGGGACGCAGCAGUGGGGAAUAGUGCACAGUGGGCGCAAGCCUGGUGCAGCAACGCCGCGUGGGGGACGACGGCCAUCGGGUUGUAAACCUCUUUUGGCAGGGACGAAGCGAAAGUGACGGUACCUGGAGAAAAAGCACCGGCUAACUACGUG
rnacentral:rRNA from 1 species